rnacentral:rRNA from 1 species
CCUACGGGAGGCUGCAGUGAGGAAUCUUGGUCAAUGGACGGAAGUCUGAACCAGCCACGCCGCGUGCAGGAAGACGGCCCUAUGAGUUGUAAACUGCUUUUGUACAAGGGUAAACCUGAAUACGUGUAUUCAGCUGAUAGUACUGUACGAAUAAGGAUCGGCUAACUCCGUGCCAGCCGCCGCGGUAAUACGGAGGAUCCAAGCGUUGUCCGGAUUUAUUGGGUUUAAAGGGUGCGUAGGCGGACUGAUAAGUUAGAGGUGAAAUGUCCGGGCUUAACUCGGGAAGUGCAUCUAAUACUGUUGAUCUAGAGAGUAGAUGCGGAAGGCGGAAUGUAAUGUGUAGCGGUGAAAUGCGUAGAGAUAAGACAGAACACCAGUGGCGAAGGCAGCUCACCAAUCUAUAACUGACGUUGAGGCACGAAAGCGUGGGGAGCAAACAGGAUUAGAUACCCGAGUAGUC